CGGGUGAUGCCAUAUUAUGACAAAGCUGUUGGGGAAGGGAGAGAGGUCACACAAGAAGGCAUUGCCCUCAGUCCCAGAGUGCUGCAGCAGGCUCAUGAAGAGCAGAGAAAGCACUUCAGUUCUGACCUCCCCCUUGCAGAAAGCCAUGCACCAAAGCCGUACCUCACCACUGAACUGACAGCAACCCCGGUGGACAGACCAGAGAGACCACAGGGUCUCAGGGGGCUGGAAAAGGAACUGUCCUCUUCUCAGCACCUUCAGGCCACUGUUGGUGGCCCAGGAGAAGCAGGGAUGUUGCUGUAUAGGCAGAAGCUGGAUCCAACCUGGGGUACCUACCAGCACUUCAUGCUGGAUGCAGGCCAGGCCCUGCAACACGAGGCUCAGCAGAACAAGAACAUGAACCUGGGCUCAUCAGUUUUGACGGAAGAGUGCUUUGACCAUGACCGGAGAAGCACCUACAGCAUCGACUUCCAGGGCCAGCCUGCAGCCCACAGUGGAAGCUGUAUAGCAAAUAAGAAUCUAUCUCACAUUUUCACUGAAGAUGAACGCUUCCACAAGAACCACUGGGUGUCUGAAUACAAGGACAACUACAGCAUUCACUUGCAGAAGCUGAAUCGGGCAUCUCAAGGCCACAGUGCGGAGCUUGGCUCUGCCUUGAAGCCCCAGGGGCUGUCCUCCCAGAGUGAGGUUGCACCAGACACAGCCCAGUGAGUGGUGCUGCAUGAGCAGAGUCAGCUGUCCCUACAGUCAACGUAUUUCCAGCAAUGGCAGAACAAGGUGACAUCCAUCUCCAUUUUUAAAUGGCUUCGUGGCCAGAAAAGAUUGGUUUUGUUUUGUGAACAAAUAUUGCUUUGAAGGAAUCCCUCUUUCCCCCAGUUUCAUCCCCAGGAAAGAGAGAAAAAGUACCUGAAUGUGAGCUCCAGCUUCCUGGGGACAGGCAGAAACCAGAGGCUGGAGAUGACAGUCACCCACUAAGCCACUUCAGUGUGUAGUGCAGAUGCCAUCCUACAUUGCAACAACCACUCUUCUGGGACCAUCACUGCCUGAGUCACCUCCUCAUAAAGCUGCUCCCAGAUUCAUGUUUUCCACAGCUACUUCACAUCCUAUAAUAGAGGUUUUACUAUUCAAAUGCUGUUGUGCUCUCUUUCCAUACCACUACACACACUGGUGAAGAAAAGAGAUUAAAGAGAUGGUGAAGAAAAGCCAUAAACGGAUUUAGGUACAGAAGUCACAGUUAUGGCUUUGAAAGCUGUACCCAGCCAGCAGUGGAAGUGUGUGCAUCCCUGUGGUUUGGGUAGUAAGGAUCUCUAGGGAGCUGUCUGUCUACCUAGGGAAUAGGAUCCUGAAUCCUCUUUGGGGAGGUCUAAACCUGGCUAUAUUCGUAUUGAGGGCAUGGCCUCAGUUUGGGACUGACGCACAAAACAAAAACCGAAGUCAGAGCACUAAGGUUAAAACAGGCUGUUUUUCACACAUCAAAGUUUGAAAUGAAGAAAUACAGAUUGGCUCCAGUCCUGGAUUUUUUAUCCCACGUUUAUCACGGAUGGUGAUGAGGACAAACCACAGGAGGACCACGAGUGUGGUUGUGUUUCCAAUAACCCACAGAUUAUUACACCUGGACAACUGCGGCUUCUUUAAUCCUCCACUCGAAGUAAAUCAAUACAUUUUGUAGUUUGCACCUCUGGAAGCUCGUAGGCUCUGCUGGGUACCUCGGGAGCAUUUUCUGGGUUAAAAUGUUCUGCUCAUUCAGCUUCUGGCAUUAGCAAUCUCCUGUAAAUGACUGUAUGAAGAGUCAGAAAUGUUUCCCUUUCCCUGUUAUCAAGCACAAAAGGCCGGGGUCCAUCCUGCUGACAGAAAUGCUGUCUGCAACCUGCUCUCCAGUUGGUAUGGGAUUUUUGUGCAUUAAGGAGACUGAUGCUUUUUUUAACAUCAGUCUCAUCAACCACCUCUUCUGGGUACCAAGUAUCUAAAUAUCUUCUCAAUACCAUCUCUUUGCCCAGAGAGGCGGUGGAUGCUCCAUCCCUGGGGAUACUCAAGGUCAGGGUGGACAGGGCUCUGGGCACCUGGUGGAGCUGUAGGUGUCCCUGUUCAAUGCAGGGGAGUUGGACCAGAUGGCCUUUAUGGGUCCCUUCCAACUCAAACCGUUCUGUGAAGGUCUCUUCCAACUCAAACCAUUCUAUGAAGGUCUCUUCCAACUCAAACCAUUCUAAUAUAAGAUGCUGCCCAGAAGAGUCUCUAUAAAACAUAUUUUCAG
rnacentral:lncRNA from 7 species